rnacentral:rRNA from 1 species
CUACUGGGGUAUCUAAUCCUGUUCGCUACCUACGCUUUCGUCCAUCAGCGUCAAUAUAGUAUUAGUGAUCUGCCUUCGCAAUCGGUAUUCUGUGUAAUAUCUAUGCAUUUCACCGCUACACUACACAUUCUAACCACUUCAUACUAAUUCAAGAACUACAGUAUCAAUGGCAGUUCUACAGUUAAGCUGCAGACUUUCACCACUGACUUAUAAUCCCGCCUACGGACCCUUUAAACCCAAUGAUUCCGGAUAACGCUUGGAUCCUCCGUAUUACCGCGGCUGCUGGCAC